CGCGUGAGAAUUUGCCUUUAGGAGGGGGAUAACAACUGGAAACGGUUGCUAAUACCCCAUAUGCUUUCGAGUGAAAUGGAUUUUUCCGCCUAAAGAGAAGCUUGCGGCUGAUUAGCUUGUUGGUGAGGUAAUGGCUCACCAAGGCGACGAUCAGUAUCUGGUUUGAGAGGACGAUCAGACACACUGGAACUGAGACACGGUCCAGACUCCUACGGGAGGCAGCAGUGGGGAAUUUUCCGCAAUGGGCGAAAGCCUGACGGAGCAAUACCGCGUGAGGGAUGACGGCCUAUGGGUUGUAAACCUCUUUUUUCAGGGAGGAAUCAAAUGACGUGUACCUGAAGAAUAAGCAUCGGCUAACUCCGUGCCAGCAGCCGCGGUAAGACGGAGGAUGCAAGUGUUAUCCGGAAUCACUGGGCGUAAAGCGUCUGUAGGUGGUCCAAUAAGUCAACUGUUAAAUCUUGAGGCUCAACCUCAAAACCGCAGUCGAAACUAUUAGACUAGAGUAUAGUAGGGGUAAAGGGAAUUUCCAGUGGAGCGGUGAAAUGCGUAGAGAUUGGAAAGAACACCGAUGGCGAAGGCACUUUACUGGGCUAUUACUGACACUCAGAGACGAAAGCU
rnacentral:rRNA from 1 species